rnacentral:misc_RNA from 1 species
UCCGCCUUACAGCGGCAGUCUCGCUAGAGUCCCCACCAUGACGUGUUGGCAACUAGCGACAGGGGUUGCGCUCGUUAGAGGACUUAACCCGACACUUCACAGCACGAGCUGACGACAGCCAUGCAGCACCUGUGAUCGUUCCACUCUUGCGAGUGUCAUCCCUGUUUCCAAGGACUAAUCCGACCAUGUCAAACCCAGGUAAGGUUCUUCGCGUUGCUUCGAAUUAAGCAACAUGCUCCACCGCUUGUGUGAGCCCCCGUCAAUUCCUUUGAGUUUUAGCCUUGCGACCGUACUCCCCAGGCGGCGCACUUAGCAAUUUCUCUACGACCAGAACAGCGUCAGAGCUGCUCCAGUCUAGUGCGCAUCGUUUAGGGCGUGGACUAC